UCUACUCCACCCAAAUCAAUCUCCUUGCUAUUCCUCUAACCUGUAUUUCAAGAAAUACCAAAGGAAGUACUUCAGACUGAAGAGAAAUGACUGUCAAUUGGAAAGUAAGAUCUACCAGAAGGAAUGAAGAGCACCACUGGCAAACAUAUAAAGACGGCCCAGGAUCUGCUGCAGGAAGCUUCCAGGAAAUGAGUGAGAAGUAUGUCAGGAGAAGGUGUAUGAGGACCCAGGUUGACUUCUUAUACGUGGGGACUGGUUCCAGCAUAAUUCACCAAUAGUCCACUGAGGAUGUCACAUUCCAAGGAAUUACAUGCCAGACUUGUCUUCCCAUGGGGCUCAAUCUGGGCCUUUGCCUCUGAAGGAGUCAUAUUUUCCUCCUUCCAUGACGGCUGAUUCAACUCCCUCCUCCCUCUCAUGACCCUGAUUCAACUCUCUCUUCCCUUUCUCCAUUAUCACACGCUGCUCCCCAAGGUAGGAGGCAAACUCCAUCCAAGCUCCAAAUGUUCCUAGAGCCCAGGCAUCCAGAUGGUUCCUGGGCUUCAGGGAGGGACAUCUCCACAGCAGGUGUGAUGGAGCCAGAGCUAAAGGGUUUAGGGGUUAGCUAAGGGGGUGAGGCCUGGGGAUGGUGCCUCUGCUCAGCUGAAGAGCCCUUCAUUUAGCUCCUGGCAAAUAAUUAACAAGAGGGCCGAGCAGGCAAGCACCCCGAGGACUGUGCUCCCGAGAACUUUGUGGAGCAGAGCCACCAUGCCUACCCUUAAGCAGUCACUUAAGAAAGCGAUAGCCUCUAUCCUGUUCAAACCAUGCUUAUUUUGAGUAUCUGCCCACCACAACCAAACCUAAUCCUGAUUGUUAGAAGUAUGUUAAGACUCCUGUUCACACUCCACUUAUUUCCCCAAAUGAUUUGAGACAACUUAUUGUAAAUGAUAAAUAAAUGAUGGGAGCAAGCAAGCAAGGAUAAGAAAAUAAGAGGCAUAAAAUAAAAAAUGGGGUGACAGUGUUUCCAGAAAAGGUGCAUUGAAGAAAUUACUGUAGCUGCAUGCAACAUUUCACAUCUAACUUCCUGGCAGCCAAGUCAAAUAAGGGAUACCUGGUGACUUAAUGUACCUCUCAUUAUCAGUGUGGGUGGUCAGGAGAACAAGGCUGUAUCAGGGCUACCUCUGGCAAACUCUUUGUUUUCAAUAGCUGAUUCCACAACAAGGAAGUAAAUUAAAAACGCUCAUUGGAAGGUCGCCUGGAUGGCUCAGUCAGUAGAGUAUGUGACUUUUGAUUUCUGGGUUGUGAGUUUGCACCCCACACUGGGUGUAGAGAUUGCUUGAAAAUGAAAUCUUGGGGUGCCUGGGUGACUCAGUCAGUUAAGUGUCUGACUCUUGCUUUCAGCUCAGGUUAUGAUCUCAGGGUGAUGGGAUUGAGCCAUGUGG